rnacentral:rRNA from 1 species
AAAUUGAAGAGUUUGAUCAUGGCUCAGAUUGAACGCUGGCGGCAGGCCUAACACAUGCAAGUCGAACGGUAACAGGAAGCAGCUUGCUGCUUCGCUGACGAGUGGCGGACGGGUGAGUAAUGUCUGGGAAACUGCCUGAUGGAGGGGGAUAACUACUGGAAACGGUAGCUAAUACCGCAUAAUGUCGCAAGACCAAAGAGGGGGACCUUCGGGCCUCUUGCCAUCGGAUGUGCCCAGAUGGGAUUAGCUUGUUGGUGGGGUAACGGCUCACCAAGGCGACGAUCCCUAGCUGGUCUGAGAGGAUGACCAGCCACACU